rnacentral:misc_RNA from 1 species
AACGCAUAUUGCGCCCUUUGGUAUUCCGAAGGGCAUGCCUGUUCGAGCGUCAUUAUCAACCAUCAAGCCUGGCUUAUUGUUGGACCCCUUUGCGACUGAAAUAUGUGGCAGGUCCAAAAGAUAAUGACGGUGUCGUGUUUGACCCUAGAUGCAACGAGCUUUUAAUAGCACGCAUUGAAGUGGUCGGCUGACCCGGUCUUAACCAUCAUUUUCUAAGGUUGACCUCGGAUCAGGUAGGAAUACCCGCUGAACUUAA